rnacentral:rRNA from 1 species
UACGGGGGGGAGCAAGCGUUGUUCGGAAUUACUGGGCGUAAAGGGCUCGUAGGUGGUCAACUAAGUCGGACGUGAAAUCCCUCGGCUUAACCGGGGAACUGCGUCCGAUACUGGAUGACUUGAGUUCGGGAGAGGGAUGCGGAAUUCCAGGUGUAGCGGUGAAAUGCGCAGAUAUCAGGAGGAACACCAAUGGCGAAGGCAGCUCUCUGGGACGGUACUGACACUGAGACGCGAAAGCGUGGGGAGCGAACAGG